rnacentral:rRNA from 1 species
CCUACGGGGGGCAGCAGUGGGGAAUAUUGGGCAAUGGGCGCAAGCCUGACCCAGCAACGCCGCGUGAAGGAAGAAGGCUUUCGGGCUGUAAACUUCUUUUAUGAGGGACGAAACAAAUGACGGUACCUCAUGAAUAAGCCACGGCUAACUACGUGCCAGCAGCCGCGGUAAUACGUAGGUGGCAAGCGUUAUCCGGAUUUACUGGGUGUAAAGGGCGUGUAGGCGGGACUGCAAGUCAGAUGUGAAAAUUAUGGGCUCAACCCAUAACCUGCAUUUGAAACUGUAGUUCUUGAGUGAUGGAGAGG